GGGGUACCAGUACAGAGUCAAUGUGGAGGCUAUAUACAGGAGAUACCAGUACAGAGUCAAUGUGGAGGCUAUAUACAGGGGGUACCAGUACAGAGUCAAUGUGGAGGCUAUAUACAGGAGAUACCAGUACAGAGUCAAUGUGGAGGCUAAAUACAGGAGAUACCAGUACAGAGUCAAUGUGGAGGCUAUAUACAGGAGAUACCAGUACAGAGUCAAUGUGGAGGCUAAAUACAGGAGAUACCAGUACAGAGUCAAUGUGGAGGCUAUAUACAGGAGGUACCAGUACAGAGUCAAUGUGGAGGCUAUAUACAGGGGGUACCAGUACAGAGUCAAUGUGGAGGCUAUAUACAGGGGGGUACCGGUACAGAGUCAAUGUGGAGGCUAUAUACAGGGG
ensembl:lncRNA